UCUCCGUAGGUGAACCUGCGGAGGGAUCAUUACUGAGUGAGGGUUUAACCGCCCGACCUCCAACCCUUUGUGAAUCGUACUCGUUGCUUCGGGGGCGACCCUGCCGUUCGCGGCGUGGGGCCCCCGGAGCCCAUCAAACCCUGCAUCGUUGCGUCUGAGUCGAAAUAUAAAUCAAUCAAAACUUUCAACAACGGAUCUCUUGGUUCUGGCAUCGAUGAAGAACGCAGC
rnacentral:misc_RNA from 1 species